GACGAACGCUGGCGGCGUGCUUAACACAUGCAAGUCGAACGGAAAGGCCCUGCUUUUGUGGGGUGCUCGAGUGGCGAACGGGUGAGUAACACGUGAGUAACCUGCCCUUGACUUUGGGAUAACUUCAGGAAACUGGGGCUAAUACCGGAUAGGAGCUCCUGCUGCAUGGUGGGGGUUGGAAAGUUUCGGCGGUUGGGGAUGGACUCGCGGCUUAUCAGCUUGUUGGUGGGGUAGUGGCUUACCAAGGCUUUGACGGGUAGCCGGCCUGAGAGGGUGACCGGCCACAUUGGGACUGAGAUACGGCCCAGACUCCUACGGGAGGCAGCAGUGGGGAAUACUGCACAAUGGGCGGAAGCCUGAUGCAGCAACGCCGCGUGCGGGAUGACGGCCUUCGGGUUGUAAACCGCUUUCGCCUGUGACGAAGCGUGAGUGACGGUAAUGGGUAAAGAAGCACCGGCUAACUACGUGCCAUCAGCCGCGGUGAUACGUAGGGUGCGAGCGUUGUCCGGAUUUAUUGGGCGUAAAGGGCUCGUAGGUGGUUGAUCGCGUCGGAAGUGUAAUCUUGGGGCUUAACCCUGAGCGUGCUUUCGAUACGGGUUGACUUGAGGAAGGUAGGGGAGAAUGGAAUUCCUGGUGGAGCGGUGGAAUGCGCAGAUAUCAGGAGGAACACCAGUGGCGAAGGCGGUUCUCUGGGCCUUUCCUGACGCUGAGGAGCGAAAGCGUGGGGAGCGAACAGGCUUAGAUACCCUGGUAGUCCACGCUGUAAACGGUGGGUACUAGGUGUGGGGUCCAUUCCACGGGUUCCGUGCCGUAGCUAACGCUUUAAGUACCCCGCCUGGGGAGUACGGCCGCAAGGCUAAAACUCAAAGGAAUUGACGGGGCCCCGCACAAGCGGCGGAGCAUGCGGAUUAAUUCGAUGCAACGCGUAGAACCUUACCUGGGUUUGACAUGGAUCGGGAGUGCUCAGAGAUGGGUGUGCCUCUUUUGGGGUCGGUUCACAGGUGGUGCAUGCCUGUCGUCAGCUCGUGUCGUGAGAUGUUGGGUUAAGUCCCGCAACGAGCGCAACCCUUGUUCACUGUUGCCAGCACGUUAUGGUGGGGACUCAGUGGAGACCGCCGGGGUCAACUCGGAGGAAGGUGGGGAUGACGUCAAGUCAUCAUGCCCCUUAUGUCCAGGGCUUCACGCAUGCUACAAUGGCUGGUACAGAGAGUGGCGAGCCUGUGAGGGUGAGCGAAUCUCGGAAAGCCGGUCUCAGUUCGGAUUGGGGUCUGCAACUCGACCUCAUGAAGUCGGAGUCGCUAGUAAUCGCAGAUCAGCAACGCUGCGGUGAAUACGUUCCCGGGGCU
rnacentral:rRNA from 1 species